rnacentral:rRNA from 1 species
AGAGUUUGAUCCUGGCUCAGAACGAACGCUGGCGGCGUGCCUGAGACAUGCAAGUCGUGGGAGAAUGUCGUAGCAAUACGGCUAGUAAACCGGCGCACGGGUGAGUAACACGUGGACAAUUUGCCCUUGAGUCUGGGAUAACCCGUCGAAAGACGAGCUAAUACCGGAUAAGACCACAGGAAGUUCGCUUCCAGAGGUAA